AAAUACAAUAAAUUCGUAGAAAAUGAAUGCCAUACUUUUUUUGGGCUAUAAAAGGGUGAACCCUACUUGCCCUUUCCUUGUACCCAGGAAAAAUGGGUUUUAGUAAGCUUUUUGUUGUUUUGCAAGUGCUUUUGAUCUCUAUCAUUCUCUUGGCUUUUCAGGUGGUUGCUAGGGAACUAGUUGAGACUUCCAGCGCUCUAAAUCCUUACCAUAAGAUCGACAGAGAGCUGAUCAAUACUCCGGAUUAUCCACACCCCGGUUAUCCCUAGACAUGGAUGAUUUGCCUCAACGACUCGAGCAUAAUUCGAGACAAAAGGGUUGGCUUGGUGAUUAAAAUGUCCCGAGGCGAUGCUCGAACUUGAAUCUCACACUAUUGCAAGCUAGCUAAUACUGCUAUUUUUCUUUUUCUUUUUUCUUUUUUUUCAAUUAUUCUCCUAUCAUAUCAGUUGUAAAAACGUGGAAUUAAAAUAAUGUUCUUUGUCAA